AUUGAACGCUGGCGGCAUGCUUUACACAUGCAAGUCGAACGGUAACAGGCCGCAAGGUGCUGACGAGUGGCGAACGGGUGAGUAAUGCAUCGGAACGUGCCCAGUCGUGGGGGAUAACGCAGCGAAAGCUGUGCUAAUACCGCAUACGAUCUAUGGAUGAAAGCGGGGGAACGUAAGGCCUCGCGCGAUUGGAGCGGGCGAUGUCAGAUUAGGUAGUUGGUGGGGUAAAGGCUCACCAAGCCAACGAUCUGUAGCUGGUCUGAGAGGACGACCAGCCACACUGGGACUGAGACACGGCCCAGACUCCUACGGGAGGCAGCAGUGGGGAAUUUUGGACAAUGGGCGCAAGCCUGAUCCAGCAAUGCCGCGUGCAGGAAGAAGGCCUUCGGGUUGUAAACUGCUUUUGUACGGAACGAAACGGCGAGCUCUAAUACAGUUUGCUAAUGACGGUACCGUAAGAAUAAGCACCGGCUAACUACGUGCCAGCCGCCGCAGUAA
rnacentral:rRNA from 1 species